AGUGCAAGAUCAUAGGAACAGGAAGACAACAUUUUCCUCGGGGCUCACUAGAAGCACUACUAUGCCUUUCUACUCUACACUUCUACCAGGCCAGCUGCUUCUGGACCAUGAGGAAUACAAUAUGAUCAAUGAAUUCUACGAGCACGAGCCCUCUGCCAUAUUUCCUUACCUGUGAAAUGAGCUCCCUGGUCAGAAGCAAUGGUCUGUGGAAAGCCAUGAUUGUACAUAAAUUAUUCUAUAAGUCCAUGGUUGGUAAUUUUAGCAGAAGCAUUAUGUACAGAAAAGUCAAGUACAUAAAAAGUGUAAGUUUCUAUUCCA